rnacentral:rRNA from 1 species
CAGCAGCCGCGGUAAUACGAAGGAUGCAAGCGUUACUCGGAAUUACUGGGCGUAAAGCGUGUGUAGGUGGUUGUUUAAGUCUGUCGUGAAAGCCCUGGGCUCAACCUGGGAAUUGCGAUGGAUACUGGGCGACUAGAGUGCGGUAGAGGAUAGUGGAAUUUCCGGUGUAGCAGUGAAAUGCGUAGAGAUCGGAAGGAACAUCUGUGGCGAAGGCGACUAUCUGGGCCAACACUGACACUGAGACACGAAAGCGUGGGGAGCAAACAGGAUUAGAUACCCCAGUAGUCCCUGUCUCUUAUAC